rnacentral:rRNA from 1 species
GACGAACGCUGGCGGCGUGCCUAAUACAUGCAAGUAGAACGCUGAAGAGAGGAGCUUACUCUUCUUGGAAGAGUUGCGAACGGGUGAGUAACGCGUAGGUAACCUGCCUUGUAGCGGGGGAUAACUAUUGGAAACGAUAGCUAAUACCGCAUAACAAUGGGUGACCCAUGUCAUUCAUUUGAAAGGGGCAACUGCUCCACUACAAGAUGGACCUGCGUUGUAUUAGCUAGUAGGUGAGGUAACGGCUCACCUAGGCGACGAUACAUAGCCGACCUGAGAGGGUGAUCGGCCACACUGGGACUGAGACACGGCCCAGACUCCUACGGGAGGCAGCAGUAGGGAAUCUUCGGCAAUGGGGGCAACCCUGACCGAGCAACGCCGCGUGAGUGAAGAAGGUUUUCGGAUCGUAAAGCUCUGUUGUAAGUCAAGAACGAGUGUGAGAGUGGAAAGUUCACACUGUGACGGUAGCUUACCAGAAAGGGACGGCUAACUACGUGCCAGCAGCCGCGGUAAUACGUAGGUCCCGAGCGUUGUCCGGAUUUAUUGGGCGUAAAGCGAGCGCAGGCGGUUUGAUAAGUCUGAAGUUAAAGGCUGUGGCUCAACCAUAGUUUGCUUUGGAAACUGUCAAACUUGAGUGCAGAAGGGGAGAGUGGAAUUCCAUGUGUAGCGGUGAAAUGCGUAGAUAUAUGGAGGAACACCGGUGGCGAAAGCGGCUCUCUGGUCUGUAACUGACGCUGAGGCUCGAAAGCGCGGGGAGCGAAUAGG